rnacentral:rRNA from 1 species
UGGGGAAUAUUGCACAAUGGGCGCAAGCCUGAUGCAGCAACGCCGCGUGAGGGACGACGGCCUUCGGGUUGUAAACCUCUUUUAGUAGGGAAGAAGCGAAAGUGACGGUACCUGCAGAAAAAGCACCGGCUAACUACGUGCCAGCAGCCGCGGUAAUACGUAGGGUGCGAGCGUUGUCCGGAAUUAUUGGGCGUAAAGAGCUCGUAGGCGGUCUGUCGCGUCUGCUGUGAAAACCCGAGGCUCAACCUCGGGCCUGCAGUGGGUACGGGCAGACUAGAGUGCGGUAGGGGAGAAUGGAAUUCCUGGUGUAGCGGUGGAAUGCGCAGAUAUCAGGAGGAACACCGAUGGCGAAGGCAGUUCUCUGGGCCGUAACUGACGCUGAGGAGCGAAAGCGUGGGGAGCGAACAGGAUUAGAUACCCUGGUAGUCCACGCCGUAAACGUUGGGCGCUAGAUGUGGGGACCAUUCCACGGUUUCCGUGUCGCAGCUAACGCAUUAAGCGCCCCGCC